AUGUCCGGAGCAGGAGGCAAGUGGAUGGUCUCCUCCGUUACGGAGGAGAACAUCACAAAGCUGCGGGGAGCCGGAUAUCUGGCCGCGGAUAUCGCGCACCGGCUGCCAGAUGCGGGGCAGAUCAUCCCUACUCCAAAACCCCAUGAGAGGGUGGUUUUCCUUACCCACUUCGUCCGCGGACUGGGAUUUCCCCGCCACCCGUUUGUCCGCGGGCUCAUGUUCUACUACGGGCUGGACUUUCACGAUCUGGCCCCCAAUUUCAUCCUCAACAUCUUGGUGUUUAUCGUCGUGUGCGAGGCCUUCCUCCGCAUCAAGCCCCACUUCGGCCUGUGGCUGAAGACCUUCAAUGUUAAACCGAUGGUGGUGGUCGGCCAACAAGCAGAGUGCGGAGGCGCCAUGGUGGGCAAAAUGCCCAACGUCACCUGGCUCGAAGGCUCCUAUGUGGAUACCAUAAAGGGGUGGCAAUCAGGGCGGUUCUACAUCACCGAGCCGCGCGACACCAACUGGGUGGCGGCCCCCGAAUUUCGAUCCGGAAUCCCCAUGCGGCUCACCUCCUGGAAAGAGAAGGGCCUGUCCUGGGGUUCCCCGGUAGAGCUGACAGGACUCCAGACAUGCAUCAAAAACAUGAUGAGCAAGAAAAUCAAGCUCGUCAACGUGGUCCAAGUCAUGCUCUUCCGCCGGAUCCUCCCGUGUCAAAGACGGGCAUUCAAUUUGUGGGAGUUCGACCCGGCCGAGCACCAGACGUUGCGAGAGCUCUCUGACACGACGCACAAGGACGUCUGGAAGGUGUUGUUCAAGGGCGCCGAGGUACCUCCUCCCCUCACCAAGGACCGUGGACUUAGCACAAAGCGUCCUGCCAACCCGGUAAGUCUUUUACAUCUCAUAAGAUGCUCUUUUCCCCAGUAUAACCACGCGCGGGAUCUAAGCCUCCAUGCCAUUUAA
rnacentral:rRNA from 1 species